rnacentral:tRNA from 1 species
AAAAACCACCGUUGUUAUUCAACUAUAGAAACCUCUA